CACCGUAUGGUCUAGUGGUUAAGACGUCCGGCACGUACCCGGAAGACUCAGGUUCGAUUCCUGGUUCGGUAG
rfam:Glossina austeni unplaced genomic scaffold Scaffold425, whole genome shotgun sequence.